GGCUAGCUCAGUCGGUAGAGCAUAUGACUCUUAAUCUCAAGGUUGUGGAUUCGAGCCCCAUGUUGGGCA
rnacentral:tRNA from 1 species